rnacentral:rRNA from 1 species
GACGAACGCUGGCGGCGUGCUUAACACAUGCAAGUCGAACGGUAAGGCCCCAGCUUGCUGGGGUACACGAGUGGCGAACGGGUGAGUAACACGUGGGUGACCUGCCCCGCACUUCGGGAUAAGCCUGGGAAACUGGGUCUAAUACCGGAUAGGACCGCACCGUGAGGGUGUGGUGGAAAGUUUUUCGGUGUGGGAUGGGCCCGCGGCCUAUCAGCUUGUUGGUGGGGUAAUGGCCUACCAAGGCGGCGACGGGUAGCCGGCCUGAGAGGGUGGACGGCCACAUUGGGACUGAGACACGGCCCAGACUCCUACGGGAGGCAGCAGUGGGGAAUAUUGCACAAUGGGCGGAAGCCUGAUGCAGCGACGCCGCGUGGGGGAUGACGGCCUUCGGGUUGUAAACUCAUUUCACCAUCGACGAAGGUUUUCUGACGGUAGAUGGAGAAGAAGCACCGGCUAACUACGUG